rnacentral:rRNA from 1 species
CACGUAAGGGGCGAGCGUUGUUCGGAAUUAUUGGGCGUAAAGGGCACGCAGGCGGUUAUACAAGUCCGAUGUUAAAGACCUGGGCUUAACUCAGGGGAUGCGUUGGAAACUGUAUGACUAGAAUCUUGGAGGGGGAGUCGGAAUUCCUAGUGUAGGGGUGAAAUCUGUUGAUAUUAGGAAGAACACCGGUGGCGAAGGCGGACUCCUGGCCGAAGAUUGACGCUGAGGUGCGAAAGCAUAGGGAGCAAACAGG